AUAGGGAAGGAUUUACUAUUUUUUUUGUUCAUUGUUGUUAGUCUAGUUCUGUUAGUUUCUGAAGAAAUGAUAUUCUUAGUUUAGUGUUCUUACUGCUCCCAUAUCCCUACUAGUAACCCCUCCAAUUUUACUUUUGAUAUAUUCACUCAUCACUCCUACUAUAUUGUAAAUUCCUUUGAGGCAAUAGAUGCCUUUCAGCUAUAUGUCACUAGGCUCAAGCACAAUGUCUAGUGUAGAAUCAACUCUGAAUAAACAUUUAGUAAAAUAAUAUGUGUAAGCUAAGUGAAAUGCUUAUAUUUUUCUUUUCCCCCCAGCUUCAGCUGUUUCUCCUGAACUAUGAAUUAUCUUAGGAAAGAUUGUAUUUUCAGGAAUUAAGUCUAGUGGAGACACAGCAGGACUCCACAGACAGCUAGAUUUGGAUAAAAUGUAGACUGCCUCAAGGCCAGUGUGUUGACUUCUCACCAGCCUCAUCUGAACCCACACCCUUUAACAUACAUACAAAACACCCUGAAGGGUUGGGCUGCCAGCUUUCUUUAGGAUAAUAGAGGGCAGGUUAAGUUUGUUUGACAUAACUAGAAGAGGCGGAGCCUCUUCCUAAUGGAGCAAGGUCCAUUUAUGGCAAGUUGUGGUCCCCCACCACUACCAGCUACUUCUGGAUAGCUUUUGCUUAGAGUUGAUGAGAUAUUAUUUCUUUCA